CUGAAAAAAAAAAAAAAAAAAAAAACCGACACGGGGAAAGGCUGUCCCCAGGUGCACAGAGGACUGAUCCCCGGAGACCAGUCCCCAGCAGGCCAGCUGGGUGAGGAGGGCAAGGAAUGAAGAUGUUUAUAUGUGACGAGACUGAAGCUCGACUUGUCAUCUCUAAGUGCACGUAGCUGUGGAUUCCUAGAACUGGGCAGCCCUGCUCUACAGUGCGACAACAUGAAGGCCAGCAGUCAUUGGACAACAGGGAGAAAGGAGUUCAGCACCUGUGAAGCAAAGCCAAGAAGUGGCACCUGCAGGCUGGCAGAGCUAUCGCUGGUCCUGAAGCUGAGAGACAGGGUUCCCAGGAACAUCUUGACCGAGUUCCCCGCUUCCACGACACCACGGUGGCAGGUGCCGAACAUCUCCUGGUCACCUGUGAUGUAUCAAAUCCACAAAUAUCUCUGGAGAAACACCUCUGAAGGGCCAACAGGGAUAGUAGCAAGCAGCGGAAACUGUCCCUGAAGCCAAAUGGAGCCUUCCCUUGGUCACCGUGGCUUUUUGGAUCACCACAUUUUCCUAGUUUUUCUACAAAUCAAUUUUCUUCAAGGAGAAGCGUUUGAAUUUUUAGCUGGUACAAACAAACAAACAAACAAACAAACCAACCAACCAACCACCACCAGCCACUGCAGAGGCUACGGAAGCUCACUCAGUCUAAGGUAGCCAGCUUGUGCCUCCGGCGGCCCGGGAAGGUCACUAUGGGAUAGGAAAAGAGUUCACAAAAGUACCGCCUUGCUGCCCUGAGGUAGUAGGGGAGGGAUGAGGAAGAGAGGUCUUCAUAGAAGAGGAGGCCAGGGGUUGGAGAGAUGGCUCAGUGGUUAAGAGCACUGACUGCUCUUCCAAAGGUCUUGAGUUCAAAUCCCAGCCCAGCAACCACAUCGUGGCUUACAACCAUCUGUAAUGAGAUCUGAUGCCCUCUUCUGGUGUGUCUGAAGACAGCUGCAGUGUACUUACAUAAAAUAAUAAAUAAAUCUUAAAAAAAAAAAAAGAAGAA
rnacentral:lncRNA from 1 species